AGUGAACGCUGGCGGUAGGCCUAACACAUGCAAGUCGAACGGCAGCACAGUAAGAGCUUGCUCUUACGGGUGGCGAGUGGCGGACGGGUGAGGAAUACAUCGGAAUCUACUUUUUCGUGGGGGAUAACGUAGGGAAACUUACGCUAAUACCGCAUACGACCUACGGGUGAAAGCAGGGGAUCUUCGGACCUUGCGCGAUUGAAUGAGCCGAUGUCGGAUUAGCUAGUUGGCGGGGUAAAGGCCCACCAAGGCGACGCUCCGUAGCUGGUCUGAGAGGAUGAUCAGCCACACUGGAACUGAGACACGGUCCAGACUCCUAAGGGAGGCAGCAGUGGGGAAUAUUGGACAAUGGGCGCAAGCCUGAUCCAGCCAUACCGCGUGGGUGAAGAAGGCCUUCGGGUUGUAAAGCCCUUUUGUUGGGAAAGAAAAGCAGCAGGUUAAUACCCCGCUGUUCUGACGGUACCCAAAGAAUAAGCACCGGCUAACUUCGUG
rnacentral:rRNA from 1 species